rnacentral:rRNA from 1 species
GACGAACGCUGGCGGCGUGCUUAACACAUGCAAGUCGAACGAGAAGAGAUGAGAAGCUUGCUUCUUAUCAAUUCGAGUGGCAAACGGGUGAGUAAACGCGUAAGCAACCUGCCCUUCAGAUGGGGACAACAGCUGGAAACGGCUGCUAAUACCGAAUACGUUCUCUUUAUCGCAUGGUAGAGGGAAGAAAGGGAGGCUCUUCGGAGCUUUCGCUGAAGGAGGGGCUUGCGUCUGAUUAGCUAGUUGGAGGGGUAACGGCCCACCAAGGCGACGAUCAGUAGCCGGUCUGAGAGGAUGAACGGCCACAUUGGGACUGAGACACGGCCCAGACUCCUACGGGAGGCAGCAGUGGGGAAUCUUCCGCAAAUGGACGAAAGUCUGACGGAGCAACGCCGCGUGAACGAUGACGGCCUCGGUUGUAAGUU